GUCUACAGCCAUACCACCCUGAACGCUCUAAAUCUUAUCUAAUCUCGGAAGCUAAGCAGGGUCGGGCCCAGUAGUACUUGGAUGGGAGAAAAUAAUUUCCAUUCAUUUUGUGUUUUGUAUUCA
rnacentral:rRNA from 1 species